UGCCCAUGCGGGGAAGGAUGAGAAGCUUCGACCAAGGUUCGACUCGAGCGCCAGCGAGAGAGCGUUGCCGCAGGCAACGACCCGAAGGGCGAAGCGCGCAGCGCUGAGUAAUCCUUCCCCCACCACCA
rnacentral:sRNA from 1 species